rnacentral:rRNA from 1 species
UACGAAGGGGGCUAGCGUUGUUCGGAAUUACUGGGCGUAAAGCGCGUGUAGGCGGGUCUUUAAGUCAGGGGUGAAAUGCCAAGGCUCAACCUUGGAACUGCCUUUGAUACUGGAGAUCUUGAGUCCGGGAGAGGUGAGUGGAACUGCGAGUGUAGAGGUGAAAUUCGUAGAUAUUCGCAAGAACACCAGUGGCGAAGGCGGCUACCUGGACCGGUUCUGACGCUGAGGCGCGAAAGCGUGGGGAGCAAACAGG